CCCUGGGUGGUAUAAACGGUUAAUGCACUUGGCUGCUAACCAAGAGGUUAGAGGUUCAAGUCCACCCACAGUUG
rnacentral:tRNA from 1 species